CCUCCACCGUGUAACACCUGAUAACAAACUGCCGUUUACCUAUAGCAACUGCUAUGUGGAUGUGAAGCAUCCUAGGGUCAUUUUUUCAAUAUAGCCGCUCAAACAGACCUACUGAGAGAAGAAAUUGCUGUUCAAAGUAGACACGUCUCGCAAUUAACAUCAGCCAAUCUAAGUAGACAAAGCUUACCAGGUGCUGGAACCAGCCAUGUGUUCCCAGGAUGCUUACUGGAGCUGGUCUAAUAGCAGAGGUGUUACUGGCAUCUGACACUGUCACCAGAAGGCAGCUUGCAGUGAAGGUCAUCAAGUCGUGGUGGAAGAAGAUAUGAUAAGAUCUGUGCUGGUGGAGAGGGAAGCACUGCAUGAAGUCUCUGGAACAGCCUUUGUCAUCCUAGGGCUUUUUGCCUUUCAGACUGAGAGACAUCAAACCAGAGAAUAUUCUCAUCGAUGGAGACGGCCAUAUUAAAAUUGCAGAUUUGGGCCUUGCAUUAAACAACAUGCAUGAAGGAGACGUCGCCACUGAAUAUGCAGGAACAACAGGCUAUAUUGCCCCCGAGGCUUCAGCAGCACAGCCUCUCAUACGCUGGUCAGGAAGAUUGUGGGAAACCAAGAUGAAAGGAAAGAAGAUGAAUUCGUGUGGAUGCUGCUUGCUGUACAAGUGAAAACUGAACAGUAUGCAAAUGUGAUAUUACAUAUUCAGUGCUAAGAAUUUCAUUUUAUAGGUUCACAUUUAAAUUAUACAUUUUUCCGAUGGCA